UACGGGGGGGGCAAGCGUUGUUCGGAAUUACUGGGCGUAAAGGGCGCGUAGGCGGCCUGCUAAGUCGGACGUGAAAUCCCUCGGCUCAACCGGGGAACUGCGUCCGAUACUGGCGAGGCUUGAAUCCGGGAGAGGGAUGCGGAAUUCCAGGUGUAGCGGUGAAAUGCGUAGAUAUCUGGAGGAACACCGGUGGCGAAGGCGGCAUCCUGGACCGAGAUUGACGCUGAGGCGCGAAAGCCAGGGGAGCAAACGGG
rnacentral:rRNA from 1 species